rnacentral:rRNA from 1 species
AACGAACGCUGGCGGCGCGUCUUAAGCAUGCAAGUCGAACGGCAAGAGAGAAGCUUGCUUCUCUCCUAGAGUGGCGGACUGGUGAGGAACACGUGGGUAAUCUACCCUUAAGAUGGGGAUAGCUGCUAGGAAUAGCAGGUAAUACCGAAUACACUCAAAGUUUCACAAGAGGUUUUGAGGAAAGGAAGCUACGGCUUCGCUUGAGGAUGAGCUUGCGUCCCAUUAGCUAGUUGGUGAGGUAAAGGCCCACCAAGGCGACGAUGGGUAUCCGGCCUGAGAGGGUGAUCGGACACAUUGGGACUGAGAUACGGCCCAAACUCCUACGGGAGGCAGCAGCUAAGAAUAUUCCGCAAUGGACGGAAGUCUGACGGAGCGACGCCGCGUGGAUGAAGAAGGCUGAAAAGUUGUAAAAUCCUUUUGUUGAUGAAGAAUAAGGGUGAGAGGGAAUGCUCAUCUGAUGACGGUAAUCGGCGAAUAAGCCC